UGGCGGGAGUAAACGCAUGUUUAGUUUGAUAGGAUAAUCUAAAUUCAAUUAUUAUUAUACGUCAAUUUUUAUGCAAAAAAUGCAUUUGUAUGUACAUAAAUGAAUGAAUUGGUUAUUAAUAAAAUUAAAGAAAUGAAUUUUAGAUCCAUGAAGUAAACAAUAUCAUUAAGAAAAUACAAGGGAAGUGGCACUUCCACCGCUUUCAAGGGCAGCAAGCCACUGGGAGCAAGUGUCUUACAGGAAUUCGUUUGUCAUAAUGUAGAAGGAUGAAUGAAAGUUCCCAUCAUUAAGAAGUGAACAAACAAACGGAAAAAAAUAAAGACCACUAAGAUUACUGGUGGACUGAAGAUGACAAUAUUAGGUGCUGUUAAUUGCUAUCAGUACAAUUGAACUAGUUCAAAGCAAUCAAACUUUAACAAAGAAGUCACAGCUGUGUUUUGAGAGCUGAUGAAUAUGUAGUAGUUUUUUGGACUGCUGGGACCUUUGUCUUUAGCAUCCUUCUGACACAAACAAGACUUCCUUUCAUAUGGAUUCUUGUCCUUUUGGUUGUAAGGACACUCAAUUUAAAUAGGGACUAAGAGGAUAAAGAACGAAAGACAUGACAUGAUAAGAUACUUACAGAACUCUCCUGAAUGAUUGUAUAACAUGUGGACACUGAGUAAUGUUGUAAGUAGUUUAUUUAUAGAUAUAUAAACAUAUAUACAGGAUGAGUGGAAAGUAACUAGGCACCAAGAAAUCAUUAUAAUUUCUAUAGUUUAAUGCAAAGCUGAUGAAAAUUAUUUUAUAUGUAUUUUAUUAAAUGGAAAUAUGGAUGCAUACCUUAAAAUUCAACAUAGGCACUGGCACCACCCACCAACUUCCUCAAGUGAUCAGGGAUCAUGAUGUGGAUGGACAGCCACUGUGAACCUGCAACCAGUUUGUGGUCAUUUGCUCUGAAUGGCAUUUCUUGCUUGUUUAUGUAUGGAUUGUGGCAUGACAUCCCUUUGUUGUAUGCCACCAUCUCUGCACAGCAACCACUGAUCUCCACAUCUCAUACUGUGCAGCAAUCUGCACUCAUUCCUGAACAGACAAAUGGUUAGCCAUUUCUUUUGCAACUACACAUGUGGCCUCUCUUGGAACUUCCCAGAGAGAUGUAGUCCUUUUAGCUUCUGUCAGUAGGAAUUAUAAAAUUUCAUUGACUGAUGUACACACGUGCACACAAAUUUUAUUAUGAUUGCAUUAUUACUACAAAAAGUAUAGCAAUUUUGCAAUUUCUAGUAUCUUUCUGGCCACCCUCUAGUUAGAACUCUAGAUUCUCAUCUUGGCUGGUGAUGUCUACUUAGGCAAGAGAUGGAGAUACACAGGCCAAGAUAAAAAGAGUGGAGUCAAUGAACCAACUUUCAGAUGCUUAAGAAGGAUAAAGAAGAGAAAAGAGAAACCACAAAAAAGGACUUUGUGGAAAAACUCCUAACAAAUGAAAGUUUAUUUAAAACAAAUUCAAAUAAUAUGAAUAUUAGUUCUGUAUUCAUGUUUUUUUUUUAAUUUUGUGAUAUGCUCUGGGAAUGAAGCAUUAAAUGCUUUAUUCUGAAUAAUUCAUUCUAAUUUUCUGAAUAAAUGUUAUUCAGAAAAUUAUUUUCAUUAUGAAGUAAUUUUGCAGUUAGUGAAUUAUGUAUAUUUUCUGUUCUAUUCUUGUAGUCUCUGAAAAUGUUGAAAGACCUGUUAAUCUGAAUACAUUAUUGAUCGAUGUAAAUAAUAAUUAUAAUCAAUAAAGGUAAUUUUUUAAAUUCAUUACUUGCUUAUUUAACUAUUUUUAUUAAUGUUAUUUACCAAAUGCUAAUAUUUUUUAAGCCUUCUUGAAGUCAGCUGAUUAAUAGAUACUACAGAGAAUAUUAAGACUUUACAAUAUAUAGAAGAAUGAUAUUUAUAAAGAAAGAUUUUCAGAAUAUAAUAUGGAUUAUCCUUUUUUUUAAGAAUUGUUGAUAAAGAACACAUCCGAGAAAACUGAAAUCAUUGACCUUCUUUUUUAGAGCUACUCAACUGUUUCAAAAAUUUAAGAUGUUUGAGAAGUCUGUGCACACAACCAGUGCCAUAACUAGGCAGGUGCAACAGGUGCACCCACACAGAGUCCUCUUGAAAGGGGAGCCAAAAAUGCAUGCAUUUGGUUUAUUAUUUUCCCAAACAUAAUUAAUUAAGAGGCCUAAAUGCAAAUUCUUGCACAGGGCACAGG